UCAAAGAUUAAGCCAUGCAUGUCUCAGUGCAAGCCGUCCUGUACGGUGAAACCGCGAAAGGCUCAUUAAAUCAGUUAUGGUUCCUUAGAUAGUACCCACGUUACUUGGAUAACUGUGGUAAUUCUAGAGCUAAUACAUGCCGACAGAGUUCCGACCAGCGUCGCGGCGGCUUGCCGUUCGCGACGUUCGGAAGGAGCGCUUUUAUUAGAUCAAAAUCGGCCAAGCGCAACGUUCGCGUAGCGUUAGUGGCCCGCGCAAAGACUUGACGACUCUGAAUAACUUCGAGCUGAUCGCACGGUCUCGCACCGGCGACGUAUCUUUCAAAUGUCUGCCUUAUCAACUGUCGACGGUACGUUCGAUGCUUACCGUGGUGGUAACGGGUAACGGGGAAUCAGGGUUCGAUUCCGGAGAGGGAGCCUGAGAAACGGCUACCACAUCCAAGGAAGGCAGCAGGCGCGCAAAUUACCCACUCCCAGCUCGGGGAGGUAGUGACGAAAAAUAACGAUACGGGA
rnacentral:rRNA from 1 species